AUGGCGGGGAAGGGGAGCAAGAAGGACAUCGAUUCCGUCCUCAUGCAGGCCAUGCUGGCCGCCAAGACGGUGCGGGCGCAGCGCGACCGCCUCCUGCAGCUCCAGCACCGCCUGCAGGACCUCCAGGCCGACGCCGCCCCCGCCCCCGCCGACGCCGACGCCGACGCUAAGCUCGGGGAGCUCGCCUCCAACCUCUUCAAGGUCUACUACAUCGGCCUGGAGGCCGGCGCCCGCAUGCUCACGACCUGCAUCGAGAUCGCCGCCAAGAAGGGCAUUCACUUCUCCCCGCCCAACCUGGCUUUCGCGGUCAUGCCCGACGAGCAGCUCCACGACGCGCUGCUCGCGCAGCAGUUCCCUGCCCGCCCCAGGUCCCAGGCCCAGGCCCUCGACCGCGUCAUGGCCGCCGUCUUGGCCAUCAAGCUGCUGGAGGAGCACCUCCUCCCGCGCUGCGUCGAGUGCCUCGCCGGCGGCAAGGCCCCCGUCCCCGGCAAGACCCCCGACUCAUCCUCGCCCGACAGCAGCCCGGACAGGGACGACGACACGGACCCGGUCGCCGCCGCCACCGAGGCCCUCGCCAAGGUCGACCUCUCCGACGACCCGGACGCCACCGCCACCGCCAAGUCCGGCUCCACCAAGCCUCGUCAGGCAGCCAGAGGCGGCGGCGGCGACGUGGGCAAGUCGCUCGACUACCUGUACCGCGCGUGCAGGAUCGCGGGGCUCGCCGUGAAGCACAUCGACGUCGCCGUCGCCGUCCUCUCCCGCUUCACGGAGCCCAAGAAGCUCGCCAGCCUCGCCGAGUUCUGCGACGACUACGCCUACAUCUCCGAGGAGGGAUUCUAUCUAGCAUCCGAUUGA
rnacentral:rRNA from 1 species